rnacentral:misc_RNA from 1 species
GAAAUGCGAUAAGUAAUGUGAAUUGCAGAAUUCAGUGAAUCAUCGAAUCUUUGAACGCAUCUUGCGCUCCUUGGUAUUCCUUGGAGCAUGCCUGUUUGAGUAUCAUGAAAUCUUCAAAGUAAAUCUUUUGUUAACUCAAUUGGUUUCUACUUUGGUAUUGGAGGUCUUUGCAGCUUCACACCUGCUCCUCUUUGUUCAUUAGCUGGAUCUCAGUGUUAUGCUUGGUUCCACUCGUCGUGAUAAGUUAUCUAUCGCUGAGGACACUGUAAAAGGUGGCCAAGGUAAAUGCAGAUGAACCGCUUCUAAUAGUCCAUUGACUUGGACAAUACUUUUAUGAUCUGAUCUCAAAUCAGGUAGGACUACCCGCUGAACUUAAGC